rnacentral:lncRNA from 1 species
CUUUUCUCUAACUGAUGCUAAAUAUAACUUGUCUUUAAUGCUUCUUGGAUCCCUUAGAAGGUACUUCCUUUUUAACCUUAACCCUUUUAGUAGUUAAAUAAUUAUUUCCAUAGGUUGCUAUUGCCAAGAAGACCUCUUCCAAACAGCACAUGAUUAUUCGUCAAACAGUUUCGUAUUCCAGAUACUGGAAUGUGGAUAAGAAAGUAUACAUUUCAAGGGGUAGGUUUUAUUAUUAAGAAAGCCAAAUGAGGAUUUUGAAAUAUUCUUUCCUGCAUAUUAUCCAUUCUAGCUACAUGCUGGCCAGUGGGCCACCUUUCUUUUCUGCAAUUUAAUGCUAGUAAUAUAUUCUAUUUAACCCAUGAGUCCCAAAGUAUUAGCAUUUCAACAUGUAAGCAUGUCGGUAAGAUAGUUGUGCUUUGCUUAGGGUUCCCUCCUGUGUUAUGGUCUGGAAAGUGUCUUUAGGCAGAAAGUCUGAGUGAUCACAGGGUUCACUCAUUAAUUUCUCUUUUCUGAGCCAUCAUAGUCUGUGCUGUCUGCUCUCCAGUUUUCUAUUUCUAGACAGAAGUAGGGCAAGUUAGGUACUAGUUAUUCUUCAUGGCCAGAAGUGCAAGUUCUACUUUGCAAGACAAGAUUAAGUUAGAGAACACCCUAUUCCACUUUGGUGAACUCAGAGCAAGAACUUUGAGUUCCUUUGGGAGGAAGACAGUGGAGAAGUCUUUGUACUUGGUGAUGUGGUUUUUUUCCUCAUGGCUUCACCUAGUGGCCCCAAGCAUGACUUCUCCCAUGUCAAUGAGCACAGCCACAUUCCCGAGUUGAGGUGACCCCACGGUCCAGAAUCAUCCUCAUUCUGGUGAACCUGGUUCUCUUUGUGGUGGGCAUACUGGGUAGGAGAAUCACCCAAAGGUCACCCAUGAGCUGCAGAAAAAAAGGCUAUUUGCAGAAGGAGCUCACAGAUCACAUUGAAAGCAUUGCAUAUUCAAACAUCUUGGUCUUCUUUAUUGGCAUGCCCACAGGGUCUUCUGACCUCUGAUUAGAUCAGACACUUUUUAGAUAUUGAAUCAUCAGUUUCUGUACAACUAUCUGAAUAAGGUAUAUAAUCAAUGAAAUUUAGAAUUUUUUUCUAUGCUUACUCCUGAUUGGUAAUUUGUUUGGGUUUAGAAUUCUAUACAAGGCCAUUUGUAAUUUUCCUCAGCACUUUAAAAAUAUUAAACCAUGUUUUCUUAA